rnacentral:rRNA from 1 species
UUACACAUGCAGUCGCACGGGCAGUUUCGGCUGUCAGUGGCGGACGGGUGAGUAACGCGUAGGGAAGUGUCUAGAGGUGGGGGACAACCCUGGGAAACUGGGGCUAAUACCGCAUAUGGGCUGAGGCCCAAAGCCGCGAGGCGCCUUUGGAGUUACCUGCGUCCGAUUAGGUAGUUGGUGGGGUAAAGGCCUACCAAGCCUGCGAUCGGUAGCUGGUCUGAGAGGACGACCAGCCACACUGGGACUGAGACACGGCCCAGACUCCUACGGGAGGCAGCAGUGGGGAAUAUUGGACAAUGGGCGCAAGCCUGAUCCAGCAAUGCCGCGUGGGUGAAGAAGGUCUUCGGAUCGUAAAGCCCUUUCGGCGGGGACGAUGAUGACGGUACCCGCAGAAGAAGCCCCGGCUAACUUCGUGCCAGCAGCCGCGUUAAUA